UAAAAUUCUUUUCUUUACUACUCCACCUAACAAAAUGCAACAAUUUUACCUCUUCGUCUAUAUAUUAUUACGGAGUAUAUGUUAUAACUAGACCAACAACGCAAGCAAUAAAAGUGGAUCACUAUUUUUGACUCUCCAUUCUCAAAAAGAUUUAGGUAACUGCGAAGAAAUGUGGCUUGGACCUACUUGUUCUGCACCAUGCUGCAUACUGUUUCCUGCUAAUCAUGAUGAUGUUGAACACAGAUGUGACCCCGCUGAAGAGAAUAUACAUGCCUGGAAAAAAAACGUUGAGGUUAUUUUUGUUUUUUUUAAAGGAAGAUGUAAGCUAACUAUGCAACAUUAAAAUCAUUCACUACCACUACAUUUGAUAAUUCAGGUACUAUUAUGUCCAAAUGUAUCUUGAGUUAGAUAUCGCUAAAUUGCUUUUGUAUUGAUUCUAAGCAUCCCAUAUACACAAAAUGAUUAUUAG